CUGGAGCUUGCUCUAGGGAAUUAGUGGCGAACGGGUGAGUAACACGUGAGUAACCUGCCCUUGACUCUGGGAUAACCUCCGGAAACGGAAGCUAAUACCGGAUAUGACGCACGGAGGCAUCUCCUGUGCGUGGAAAGAACUUCGGUCAAGGAUGGACUCGCGGCCUAUCAGGUAGUUGGUGAGGUAACGGCUCACCAAGCCUACGACGGGUAGCCGGCCUGAGAGGGUGACCGGCCACACUGGGACUGAGACACGGCCCAGACUCCUACGGGAGGCAGCAGUGGGGAAUAUUGCACAAUGGGCGCAAGCCUGAUGCAGCAACGCCGCGUGAGGGAUGACGGCCUUCGGGUUGUAAACCUCUUUUAGUAGGGAAGAAGCGAAAGUGACGGUACCUGCAGAAAAAGCACCGGCUAACUACGUGCCAGCAGCCGCGGUAAUACGUAGGGUGCGAGCGUUGUCCGGAAUUAUUGGGCGUAAAGAGCUCGUAGGCGGUCUGUCGCGUCUGCUGUGAAAACCCGAGGCUCAACCUCGGGCCUGCAGUGGGUACGGGCAGACUAGAGUGCGGUAGGGGAGAAUGGAAUUCCUGGUGUAGCGGUGGAAUGCGCAGAUAUCAGGAGGAACACCGAUGGCGAAGGCAGUUCUCUGGGCCGUAACUGACGCUGAGGAGCGAAAGCGUGGGGAGCGAACAGGAUUAGAUACCCUGGUAGUCCACGCCGUAAACGUUGGGCGCUAGAUGUGG
rnacentral:rRNA from 1 species